AAUUGUCAGACAAAGAAAAUGAGAAAGGUGCUCUCUCCUCCUUUCUUUCCUCCUCCUACUACACGACCAAAACUAUGCCAUUACAGGCAAGACCUAAAGUUUCAGACACAUCGCACCAAAACCUAGGUAGAAUCAACUACUAGACCACCUCGGUUCUCUCAACCAACAACACAAUAUAAACAACACACCCACGCACAAACACAAACACACGCUUAUUUUUCCUUUCUUUCUUUUCCAUUUUCCAUUUUCCAUUUUCCACCCUCUUCAAGAUGCCCAGGCCAGGCCCAAGACCAUACGAGUGCAUGAGGAGAGCUUGGCACAGCGACCGCCACCAACCCAUCAGAGGUUCCAUCAUUCGACGAAUUUUCAGGGUCGCCUCUCAGUUUCACUCUCUAUCUACUAAGAACAAAAAGGAGUGGCAGGAGAAGCUUCCCAUCGUUGUCCUCAGAGCCGAAGAAAUCAUCUACUCCAAAGCUAAUUCUGAGGCAGAGUACCUUAACCCCGACACGCUCCUCGACCGCCUCAAUGAUGCCAUCAACACUAUCAUUCGUAGAGAAGAAACCAACGAGACCGGCAAGCUUUUGCCACCAUGUAUCGAAGCUGCACUUAACCUUGGUUGCAAGCCAGUGAGAACAUCAAGAAGUGAUAGGCACAAUAUCUCCAGGACUUACCUUACAUCGAGGAAUCAACAAUACCCUUUUUCUGUUUCUCCCGAAUCUGUUGCUUCUAGCAAUGCUUUAGCCUUUUUUCCAGUGUCAGAUUCUAUCCACCAGACCAGCCUGAAUAACUACUCUUUAUUAAACAACUUUGCUGCUGUUCACCAUCACCAACCCUUUGCAGUGCAAAGUAACCCCUCAUUGAACUUCGGUUCCGUUUACCCAUUGUGUUAUGGUUUUGAACCCCAAGAGCCUCCACUGCGGAUCAACAACCCGGGGAACACUUACUCUGAUACAAUCUUUGUUGGCACACCCGUCAUUACUCCAGCCUUGGAGCCAUCUAGAAUGGAUCCAUUGCGGAACUUGUAAUGUGGUAGAGUCCAUUGUCCUCCCAACAGAAUUGUGAAAGAAACUGCUGUAAGUGUUGCGGAGGAGGAGUCGCGAGCCGGGGAAUGUGAUUUGUCUUUGAGGUUGGGUCUGUGUUUGCAGACUAACAAAACAAGUUCAGCAUAUGGCUUAGAAGAUGUCAGGCUAAGAGUUUCUCAGGAGGCUAGUAAAUUUGGCCGUUCAUCUCAACAGAUCAAUGAAGGUUACUGUUUUUACCCCGGAGGAACUGGUUAUGGUACCAUUUAGUGCAUGUUGUGGGAACAAGCUUCAUUUGGGGAACUAGUUGUCUUUUUAGUUUCCUUGAGAAAAUAACAAGUGAUUAUUUCUUCAAAAGAAGUUAAACCAAAUAUGCAUUUAUACCAUGACGUCGAGGGUGAUCUGAACAGGGGCAACUUUUCAGAAGGGCAAUGCGUUUCUAGGUAGCUACGGGAUGGGCAAUUUUGCGGGCAAUGACGGUUCCGUCCAAUCUGUUUACUGGUACAAUUGUUGGGUCAGGUUUUUAGUUUGUCGUUCUUGUUGUAGCAUAUAUGCUUUUGCAAUUCUAAUAGAUCCAUGAUGUUUAGUCCUCUCACGUGGAUUCUCUGUCUGUCUCUGCAUGUAAAAAUUAGGUGGUGACAUUGAUUUUCUCUAUCAUUGCUGCAAAAUUGAUCUGUAUAAUUAGCUUGCUUUGUUUUGUUUCUA